rnacentral:rRNA from 1 species
UACGAAGGGGGCUAGCGUUGCUCGGAAUCACUGGGCGUAAAGGGCGCGUAGGCGGCCGAUUAAGUCGGGGGUGAAAGCCUGUGGCUCAACCACAGAAUUGCCUCGAUACUGGUUGGCUUGAGACCGGAAGAGGACAGCGGAACUGCGAGUGUAGAGGUGAAAUUCGUAGAUAUUCGCAAGAACACCAGUGGCGAAGGCGGCUGUCUGGUCCGGUUCUGACGCUGAGGCGCGAAAAGCGUGGGGGAGCAAACAGG